CCGCCUCCAUCCCGUUCUCCGGUCGGCGUCUUCCUCCUUCCCCCAGCCGGCGAGCUCGCCGCCACCUCCCUCACCCUUCCCUCCCGGGGCGCACCUGCCCCUGGCGCGGCUCGGCGCGGGCGUGGCUGCCCGGCCUCGGCACCGCCUCCAUCCCGUUCUCCGGCCGGCGUCUUCCUCCUUCCCCCAGCCGGCGAGCUCGCCGCCACCUCCCUCACCCUUCCCUCCCGGGGCGCACCUGCCCCUGGCGCGGCUCGGCGCGGGCGUGGCUGCCCGGCCUCGGCACGGCAGCCCCCGGCCCCGACGGCGC
rnacentral:misc_RNA from 1 species